rnacentral:rRNA from 1 species
UACGUAGGUGGCAAGCGUUGUUCGGAAUUACUGGGCGUAAAGGGCCAGUAGGCGGCCAACUAAGUCCGACGUGAAAUCCCCAGGCUUAACCUGGGAACUGCGUCGGAUACUGGAUGGCUUGAAUUCGGGAGAGGGAUGCAGAAUUCCAGGUGUAGCGGUGAAAUGCGUAGAUAUCUGGAGGAAUACCGGUGGCGAAGGCGGCAUCCUGGACCGACAUUGACGCUGAACGGCGAAAGCUAGGGGAGCAAACGGG